rnacentral:rRNA from 1 species
UAUGAAGGGUGCAAGCGUUACUCGGAAUUACUGGGCGUAAAGCGUGCGUAGGCGGUUUGUUAAGUCCGUUGUGAAAGCCCUGGGCUCAACCUGGGAAUUGCAGUGGAUACUGGCGAGCUGGAGUGCGGUAGAGGAUGGUGGAAUUCCCGGUGUAGCGGUGAAAUGCGUAGAGAUCGGGAGGAACACCCGUGGCGAAGGCGGCCAUCUGGACCAGCACUGACGCUGAGGCACGAAAGCGUGGGGAGCAAACAGG